rnacentral:tRNA from 1 species
GGGCUCUUAGCUCAGCUGGUAGAGCGCCACGUUUACACCGUGGAUGCCGGGGGUUCGAGUCCCUCAGGGCCCACC